AACGAACGCUGGCGGCAGGCCUAACACAUGCAAGUCGAGCGAGGUAGCAAUACCUAGCGGCGGACGGGUGAGUAACGCGUGGGAACGUGCCCCUUGGUACGGAAUAGCCCCGGGAAACUGGGAGUAAUACCGUAUGUGGUCGAGAGACGAAAGAUUUAUCGCCAAAGGAUUGGCCCGCGUGGGAUUAGGUAGUUGGUGGGGUAAUGGCCUACCAAGCCGACGAUCCAUAGCUGGUUUGAGAGGAUGAUCAGCCACAAUGGGACUGAGACACGGCCCAGACUCCUACGGGGGGCAGCAGUGGGGAAUCUUAGACAAUGGGGGAAACCCUGAUCUAGCCAUGCCGCGUGAUCGAUGAAGGCCUUAGGGUUGUAAAGAUCUUUCAGGUGGGAAGAUAAUGACUGUACCACCAGAAGAAGCCCCGGCUAACUCCGUGCCAGCCGCCGCCGUAA
rnacentral:rRNA from 1 species